CUAGCGGCGGACGGGUGAGUAACGCGUGGGAACGUGCCCUUCUCUACGGAAUAGCCUCGGGAAACUGGGAGUAAUACCGUAUACGCCCUUUGGGGGAAAGAUUUAUCGGAGAAGGAUCGGCCCGCGUUGGAUUAGGUAGUUGGUGGGGUAAUGGCCCACCAAGCCGACGAUCCAUAGCUGGUUUGAGAGGAUGAUCAGCCACACUGGGACUGAGACACGGCCCAGACUCCUACGGGAGGCAGCAGUGGGGAAUCUUAGACAAUGGGGGCAACCCUGAUCUAGCCAUGCCGCGUGAGUGAUGAAGGCCUUAGGGUUGUAAAGCUCUUUCAGCUGGGAAGAUAAUGACGGUACCAGCAGAAGAAGCCCCGGCUAACUCCGUGCCAGCAGCCGCGGUAAUACGGAGGGGGCUAGCGUUGUUCGGAAUUACUGGGCGUAAAGCGCACGUAGGCGGACCAGAAAGUUGGGGGUGAAAUCCCGGGGCUCAACCUCGGAACUGCCUUCAAAACUAUUGGUCUGGAGUUCGAGAGAGGUGAGUGGAAUUCCGAGUGUA
rnacentral:rRNA from 1 species